UGUCAGUUUAUUCAAGGCUUCCA
rnacentral:siRNA from 1 species